UUAAAUAACACUCCGAAAUUCAACUCAAUUAAAUUUUCAUUAGAAAUUUGCCGUAAGAGUAAUUGAUGUGCAUAUGAUAAUUAACACCUUGGCCUGCCUCCAAAAAGAAAAAAUUCCCUAUAUUUAACAUGUGGUGGCGUUCCUUGCUACUUUUACAAUUUUUCUUAUUAUUUCGGUAGGUGUCGCUGAUCUUGACAGCUGUGCUUUACUAAGAGAUGGGAAAUCGCAUUUUGUAGCUGGCACUUAAAUUACCUAGGUUUGUAUGUAUAUAAAUGUGCCUAAAAGACCAAACACAGGUUUAUACAUUUUUAUAUUUGGCUAAGCAAUGUGUUGAAAUGUUUUUUUAAGAAAGGUUGCAAAGUUACAUUGCAAAUGUGCUCAACUUGGAUUCUUGUACCGAAAGUACUUUCAGCUUAAGCAAGUCUGAACGGGGUAUAAUGGUACCUAUUUUUCCAUCACUGGUUACACUACAGUGGCAUACUUUACAAUUUCCUGAAUGACACAAAUGUCAGUCAAUUAGCAACCACCACGAGGACAUACUAUAAGUGAAGCCAAAGUGCCGUAUUGAUUAAACACUUGCAAUUAGGAUCUACGGUUGCCAAACCGUUGUACCAGGUGUAAACCACCAACGAACAAAAACCCACAUUCAUUAGUAAGAAUCCUUAAUACCCUGACGAAUAUUACGAUGGGCAAUUCGAAUGCCGACAUGUGCUGCCAAAUGAGCCUUCAAAAUUGGCACCAAAACGCACGAGAGGAAAAAAGAUUUAGAACCUGUUGAAGCGAUGAGAGGCGUUGGAAACUGUCACCUACCCGCAAUCUUCAUAUAGACACCUCAAGAGGUGCUGCUUGUACGGCUGUGAAAAUCGACAGAUUCAACGAAAGCGAAAUUUAAUUUAUACAAUGGUACAUUUUAUGCUUUGAAAUUUAACACGUAACUCUUACAACAGCUAUGAGGCACAUCAGUGAGAACAAGCUAACAAUUUUUAAAACGGAAGCAAUUGAACGAGCUAGGUUCCUGACUCCCUCAAUAUUACCUUACGGUUCUGUGGUUCAGAAUAAUCAAUUAGCAGUACCAGACUCCACCAAGAUGCUAUUUGCUAAGAUCUCACGUUCGCGCAACAAUGCCGCAGUUUUGCAAACAUAAGUGUGCUCAUCAAAACCAAACACAGGCUGUUUGCGAAAUGGCGUGAGAGUAAGUGUAAGAGUAGUAUGUACAAAUGAAUAUACAUUAAAAUGUGAAUAUAAAAAGGAAAGAUGUGCUGCAGUGUGUACAUUAGGGCAUUGUUAUAUGAGGGCAUUUUGCUGGCACAACCAAUUUUGGAAUCGUUAAGGUUCACAGACAAUGAGUGGCUGAAGGAAUUAUCAAAACCCUUUAUUACAGAGAUGACGAAUUGAUCGCAGUUCUCGAUUUUAUGGUGCCAGGUGCAAGGUGCAUAAAUGUCAAAAAACUCUCAUUACUUAUGUAUGUAGCAGGGUUAGAACUUUACUAUGAUCGUAGUAA